rnacentral:rRNA from 1 species
GACAGAGGUCUCGAGCGUUAGGCGGAAUUACUGGGCGUAAAGCGCACGUAGGCGGAUUUGUAAGUCAGGGGUGAAAUCCCGGGGCUCAACCUCGGAACUGCCUUUGAUACUGCAAAUCUCGAGUCCGGAAGAGGUGAGUGGAAAUUUCUAGUGUAGAGGUGAAAUUCGUAGAUAUUAGGAAGAACACCAGUGGCGAAGGCGGCUCACUGGUCCGGUACUGACGCUGAGGUGCGAAAGCGUGGGGAGCAAACAGGG